UUGUGCAGUUGGAGAAGUGACAUGAUCCAAAUAAAAAGAAAUAGAUCAGCUUUUUUUCUCUGGUAGUACUGACACAUCAACUGGAGCUCAUGGACUUCAUCUUUCUACCUUAUGCUGUGCCAUUUCUCAAGUUUUACAGAAAUGGCAAUGAAGUUUUGGAGGAAGAGGAAUCUCGCUCUGUGACUGCAGCUUCUGCUUUCCAAAAUUGAGCACACAAACUUCCAUCAGUUGCAUCUCUUCUUAUUGCUGAACUUCAAUCAAACAUAUUCUAGAUUUCCAACAAUUAAAGCAUUAAUCUGAGCUUAGCAUCUAAUAGGAGAGAAUUUUCCUGGGAUUUGCAGAGAGUUUUGAUGUUCAAGGCUUGUUUUGAAGCCCUCUGCGUUGCAGUUUUCUGUUUCGGAUCCUGGGGACUGACAGAUGCUCAGAUUCUUCUUGGUGCAGUGCCAGCAGUGGCAGCAGAUAAAGGAAAAGAGAUGGAAACAAGAGGGAUCCUUUGCCAGUCCUCACAGUUCUGCUGUUUCUCUGUCCUCUAGCAAGACCUUUUGCUGGAAAUUAAGGGACAUCUCCUGUAGUUCUCAAAGCAGUAGCACAGGCUCCUUGGAGGAAGAACUUAGGAAAUAAAAAAAGCCACAAAGAAGCUCAUGGGACAGAAAGGGCAAAAAUGGAGUGGAAGAGGGAGAAAACUUACCAGCAAGACCAUACAUCUGCUCAGCUGGGACAAGUGCAGGUUUGAAUGAAGAAGAUCUGAGAGAGAAAAGAAAUGAUUGUCAAGGUAUAUUUUCUUCCAGCUGGUCCUCUUGUUCACAUCUGCUUCUAACAACAGAGCAAGCUGGAUGUUUGUUCUGAGAUUGAAAACAGUCAGCCUGUAGCCUUUUUUUUCAUCUGAGACUUAGAUCUUAGACUCUUCUGAUGUCAGCCAUUAGUACCUUCCAGUAGAGCAUCCUCCAUGGACACUUCCUUUCCUGUUUCCUCUAUUAAUUUUUAAAUAUGAAUGGCUGAUAAUUAUAGCUAAAAGUGCAUUUUUGCCUUGUUUUCAGUUCACCCAUCCACAAAAUAUUUACCAACUUUUUCCAAAUUUUUUUUUAAUCUAAUGUCAAUAAUUACUCUUUAACAUAUUAGAAUAAACCCAAACAUAUCUCACUGUAAUCCACUUAUGUUGGCAUUUCUCUCUUUGUUGGUUUAUUUUUCAGGUUUUCCUGAAAAUUUUGAAGUUGUUUUCUUCCACUUCUUAUGCAACUUCAGAUUCAUGCCAUGAAAACUGGUACUGAAAGUAUUGCUUUUUAAAAAGAACCCUCAUUCAUUAAUCAUGAUGGCAUCUCAUAUUAACUAGUUAAUGUAUAAAGGCCUUUGGGCACUUAUGAAUCUGUAAUUUCAAAUCUAAAAUGAAGCAAUAGUUUUUCAGGCAACCAAAGAAAAAUUCACCAAGGGCAAAAUUUAACAUUAUGCAACUAUUCCAAAAAUACUCAUUCUAUACACGGCACAAUACACUUUUUAGAAGUAAAAAUCAAAACACACUGGAGAAUUUGCAUAUGAAAACCUGGCUGCUUUCUAGGUAGAAUGUCAGUUCUGUAUUGAAUCCUUAUCAUUCUGAAGAACUCUUCCUUGCAAUCAAAGAGCCCUUUAAAAAAAAUUGUGAAAAAGCUUUUUAAAUUUAUAAGGAGCUUUUAUAAGGUAUGUAUAUGUAUAUUCAAUUUAGAGCAAUAUAUCAUAUGGAUGACUCUAAUAGUUUUAUGAUAAUCUGAAUGAUACCUUACCAGUAAUCCUACAGAUUUUUAAGGGUGUUUCUGUUACUUAAUUUCAGUAAAUUUUAUGAUCUGGGUGAAUAUUAUUAGCCUGUAAACAUAAUAAAUCAGUUUUUGAAUCUCA